rfam:Gossypium arboreum cultivar AKA8401 contig_4958_9, whole genome shotgun sequence.
AAUCCGUGGUGUAAGCAUUUUUGAAUCAAUAUUUUGAAAAGUUCCCAUGCCUUAUAGAAAAUCUCUCCCUCUAUCUGUCUAAAGACAACAAUCUUUCGUCUCAGUUG